GUUUGAGGUUUUUUGACAAUUCUUCCAAUAAUGAUAGGAUAAACAAACAUCCAACUGGCAACAUUGAUUUGUUUUUAUGUGGUGAAGACAGCGUGAUAUAGUUUGGAACUGUGCCCUGACAAUGGAUGAUGAUAUUGAGCCUCCUCGUGAUCCAAAAGUUAUUACUGCUCAAUCUCAUUUUUCAGAAUGUGAUCUGCAAGAUCACCGAGCAUGUACACUUUAUAUAGGAUAUUAUGUUCCUGGAUACAGAAGAAAAAGCCAUCACAGGCGUAAUCGUUCUCACCACCACAAACCUGGAUACAGUCAUGGAUCUGAGUAUGGUCAUGACAUUAGCA